rnacentral:lncRNA from 1 species
GGACAGCUGCUAUAAAUACAGCAAAUCAGGCUGUGGAAAGGUGAUGGAUGAAGAUGCUGCAGGUGUCCCUGGAAACAUGCUAGCAUGCCUUGCGUCUUGGCCUUGUCUCCUAGCAGAAGUUAGCAGCAAGCUAACACAGGCUGUAGCCUGCAAGAGAUGCUGAACUUCAGUCUGAUUUUCCCUGAAAAAUGACAAAUAGUGACUUCAAGAGUAAAGGAUUAAUAAUAUAGGAAUAAACCAUGAUGAAUUUUACAUUACUCAGAGACAACAGGUCACCCAGGAUCUGAAGCGUGGGAACAGCACCAUCUAUUGCACGGCUGCCCUUACCAUCGCAGAGUCGAACCUUACAGCUUCCCCUGCAUGGCCUUCACAAAAGCUCUAUUCACCACGUUGCAAGUACAGUUUAGCAGUUGGAAAAAGAAGCAUGUUAGAGUAGUCUCAUCUUUGAAAGUCAAUAUCCGUCCACAAACCACAGUGAUCGGAGUAUAUGAAAUACAAAUAUAUGAAAUACAAAUUUCAUAUCCAUGACUACAUUUGUAUAGAGGCUUUUAAUUAUUCUUUUCUUUCUUUCAAGUGCCCCCUGAAGCAGGAGUUGGAUUUAAGGAGUUAGUACAGACAGAUAAUGAACUCCAUAAUAGAGGAUCAAUCACUGGGGAAGCAAACCAGACAGAAAUAAUCCUUCUGUAGGCAUUUGGUAAAAUUAGACUAUAUUUACUGAAUUGGAGAAAACCUACAAAAGAAAACUGUGUGGGGCAGAAUUAAGAGAAAAAGUUAUAAGCAUGUAAGAGAUGUAUCUUCACAUAACCAUGGCAAGAACUUGGUUUAGACUCUUGCCAAGAACUGGUAGUAUUUCACAAUGGCUACCUAAUAACAUUUUUUUAAGUGGUAAUGUAAUGACCCUUUGGAAGAUCACACAUUCGUGUGCUAAACA